rnacentral:precursor_RNA from 1 species
GGUGAGGCAGGCGGGAGGCGGGUGUGAGACCCUGGGCCGGCCAGGUGGACGCGCUCACUCACCCUCUGCCCGCUCUCUGUCUUACAGC